rnacentral:rRNA from 1 species
AGCGAACGUUUGCGGCGGGCCUAACACAUGCAAGUCGAACGCACUAGCAAUAGUGAGUGGCGCACGGGUGCGUAACACGUGGGUAAUCAACCCUUCAGCUUGGGAUAACGACUUGAAAGGGUCGCUAAUACCGGAUACGGCGCGGGAGGCUUCGGCUUCUCACGAGAAAGCCUCGCAAGGGGCACUGAAGGACGAGCCUGCGGCCCAUCAGCUAGUUGGUGAGGUAAGAGCUCACCAAGGCGAAGACGGGUAGCUGGUCUGAGAGGAUGAUCAGCCACACUGGAACUGAGACACGGUCCAGACUCCUACGGGAGGCAGCAGUGGGGAAUAUUGCGCAAUGGGCGAAAGCCUGACGCAGCCACGCCGCGUGAGCGAUGAAGGCCUUCGGUCGUAAGCUCUGUGGGGAGAGACGAAGAAAGCCCGUGAAGAGCGGGCCGUUGACGGUAUCCUACUACGACGAACGACCGACCGGUAACC